UAAUACCAUACUAGUUUGACCUGUAAAAUAUAAGCAUCAGCAAUGGAUCUAUGAGAAACAAAACCAUGUCUAUAUCAAAGAGAAAUAAAACAACGUUUUAAAAUGCUAGAAUAGAAAGCUUCAAGGUCUACCAAUUAGCUAGGUAUAUUUCAAAGAGAAAUUGGGGCUACGAUGGAUACAUGAAUACCAUGGUUGAUGAACCAACAACCAUUUUACCAGUAAUGAGAGAGCACAGACAUAUUUCUUUAGCGAGGUGUAAAGACUAUGUAACUUCACUUUUAGUUUUUGUGUUUAAGUUCUUUAAAGAUGAGCUGCUGAUGCAAAAACCAGUAUUUAAACACUUUCAGUUAUCUGCAGUAAAAGCAAAGAACAUCGACAGCACCACCAUUGAUGGUAUUCUUCUUGAUAUAAUGUUACUCAACUCUCCUACGUGUCCGACAAAAAAAAACACCAUUGAUGGUACUGAGGGCGCGAACUGUAAAAUAGUGACACCUGAGAGUCAUUUGCUUCUGAA
rnacentral:misc_RNA from 1 species